UUGGAUAAUUACAAAAUAUAUCAAGUUUAGGGAUGACAAAAUAACCCAGAAAAUCUGGGUUGAGUUUAACCCAUACCGCAUUUAAAUAAUAUGCAGAUUCGAUAUUGAUUUUUUGAACCCGGACAUAUCUAGGUACAGGUCUAGUUUUAGCUGAACCCGUAUAUUCGGAACCCGGACUCAGAUACAUUUAUUUUUAAUAUAAAUAUAAAAAAUAAAAAAAUCAAUGGAAAAAGAACACACAAACCCUAGUUUACAUAUUUUAGGCUUUUAGCUUAAGACCGCCACCAUUUCCAUUCCUUUUCAUCUCCCAAAUUCAUCAAUUCAAAUUAUCAUCAUUAUCAAAUUGUCAUCAAUCAUCAUCAAAGGCUUGAAUCUCUCAGUAACUCCUAAACCCAUUCACGGUCACAGCUGGCGGCAGACAGUCACGCACACAAAGUGACGAUUUGGCAUUCAUGGACGUAGACGAAGUAGUGGCCAGCGGCACGAAUUCACUGGAUUUUCAUUCCCCGUCGCCAUUUGUGUUCUAUUUUGCUAUCAUUUUAAUUGUUGUUUGAUGAUGACAAGCUGACAAUCACAAAAUCUGGGUUUUGUUUUUCACUUUUGCUUCACUGUUUUGUUAUAUUAUUUUAUCAAUUUUUUUCUCUUUGAUUUGAAUAUUACUCAUAUUUUGAUAUUGAAGCAAUAAGUGAUUGAAAAAAGUUGCAAAGUUGGAACAUCAGUGCCCUACCUUUGGUUUUCUACUCGAAAACAAGUCCAUAAAUGGUGCCCAUCUGGGUUCAAAACCCAGAUUUUUGCGGGUUGAACCCCGUCCACACUCAGAGUCUAAAAAUUCUGGUUUAUUUUCAGGUCUGGUGUAAUAAAUUCUCGUAUGGGUCUAGAACCGAAAUGGACGAACCCAAACACAGACCCGGACCCAAAUUUUGCCAUGCCUAAUCAAGUUUGGUUUCAUUUUAUUUUUAUAUAAAUAAAUAUUUGGUGACCUUACCAUAAUUGAUGAUAUUGUUUAAUGCCCCCAUUAAUAUUAAAUUGAGGUGAAUUUGUAAAAAUAAAUAAAAAGAUUGUCUGUCCCCAG
rnacentral:lncRNA from 1 species